rnacentral:tRNA from 1 species
GCGCCUAUAGCUCAAUUGGAUAGAGCGCCGGCCUACGGAGUCGGUGACGAUAAGGGUUCGAAUCCCCUUAGGCGCG